rnacentral:rRNA from 1 species
GAUGAACGCUGGCGGCGUGCCUAACACAUGCAAGUCGAGCGAUUCUCUUCGGAGAAGAGCGGCGGACGGGUGAGUAACGCGUGGGUAACCUGCCCUGUACACACGGAUAACAUACCGAAAGGUAUGCUAAUACGAGAUAAUAUACUUUUAUCGCAUGGUAGAAGUAUCAAAGCUCCGGCGGUACAGGAUGGACCCGCGUCUGAUUAGCUAGUUGGUAAGGUAACGGCUUACCAAGGCGACGAUCAGUAGCCGACCUGAGAGGGUGAUCGGCCACAUUGGAACUGAGACACGGUCCAAACUCCUACGGGAGGCAGCAGUGGGGAAUAUUGCACAAUGGGCGAAAGCCUGAUGCAACAACGCCGCGUGAGCGAUGAAGGCCUUCGGGUCGUAAAGCUCUGUCCUCAAGGAAGAUAAUGACGGUACUUGAGGAGGAAGCCCCGGCUAACUACGUG